CCUACGGGUGGCAGCAGUGGGGAAUAUUGGACAAUGGGGGAAACCCUGAUCCAGCGACGCCGCGUGAGUGAAGAAGUAUUUCGGUACGUAAAGCUCUAUCAGCAGGGAAGAAAAUGACUGUACCUGACUAAGAAGCCCCGGCUAACUACGUGCCAGCAGCCGCGGUAAUACGUAGGGGGCAAGCGUUAUCCGGAUUUACUGGGUGUAAAGGGAGCGUAGACGGCAGCGCAAGUCUGGAGUGAAAUGCCGGGGCUCAACCCCGGAACUGCUCUGGAAACUGUGCAGCUGGAGUGCAGGAGAGGUAAGCGGAAUUCCUGGUGUAGCGGUGAAAUGCGUAGAUAUCAGGAGGAACACCGGCGGCGAAGGCGACUUACUGGACUGUAACUGACGUUGAGGCUCGAAGGCGUGGGGAGCAAACAGGAUUAGAUACCCCGGUAGUC
rnacentral:rRNA from 1 species